GGGAAUAUCUCCCAAGUAAGUUCUUUUCUUUACCUCAAACUGGUGAUGAUUUCAUAAUUUUUCACAAUACAAAAUGGGUAGGUCUGGCCAGAAUAGACAAAAAGAAAGUAAACUGUUUUAGGCAGAACUGCCUGUUACAAGACUCAAAAAUGAAAUGACAACUCCGAAACAAGACAAUAAGAUGUUGGACUUCGGUUUCUGCUUGGUUAACUACCUCUGAUCAGGGCUGGAUUGGAUAUGUUUAUGCUGGAUUGGCUCGUCAACACCUUCAACUCAGUUGAGUUUCAGCUGGAAAUCGAUACCAACGUUUGAGUUUGGCAGAGCUUCAAUUUAUUUCGGGCCACGGAAGGCUUGCUGAACUAGCAGAAUUGAGGCCUCUUCAGUCUGGAGAGGGCAAAAGUGGUUGGAUUGAUGAUCACCGAGUUGGGGCUGCACUAUGGUGCCUAUUCUCCUUGACCAAGGCUCUCUGUAAAUUUGUUGAGAUUUUCAUAUUCGUGAUAAACCCUGACUCUGCUUGACUUGGCUUUAUGCUGAACCAAAUUUGUAACGAGAGAAAUCUUGUUUUGUAUGACUAUUUCUUUGAAAUUGAACUGAAGUUAGAGAUUUCGACUUAUAGCUGACUUGUUUCUUGUGGCUCAAUGAGCUUUGGUUGCUUCAGUGUUUUAAAGGCUUUUGAGAUCAAG
rnacentral:lncRNA from 1 species